rnacentral:rRNA from 1 species
CGGCGGACGGGUGAGUAACACGUGGGUAACCUGCCUGUAAGACUGGGAUAACUCCGGGAAACCGGAGCUAAUACCGGAUAGUUCCUUGAACCGCAUGGUUCAAGGAUGAAAGACGGUUUCGGCUGUCACUUACAGAUGGACCCGCGGCGCAUUAGCUAGUUGGUGGGGUAAUGGCUCACCAAGGCGACGAUGCGUAGCCGACCUGAGAGGGUGAUCGGCCACACUGGGACUGAGACACGGCCCAGACUCCUACGGGAGGCAGCAGUAGGGAAUCUUCCGCAAUGGACGAAAGUCUGACGGAGCAACGCCGCGUGAGUGAUGAAGGUUUUCGGAUCGUAAAGCUCUGUUGUUAGGGAAGAACAAGUGCGAGAGUAACUGCUCGCACCUUGACGGUACCUAACCAGAAAGCCACGGCUAACUACGUGCCAGCAGCCGCGGUAAUACGUAGGUGGCAAGCGUUGUCCGGAAUUAUUGGGCGUAAAGGGCUCGCAGGCGGUUUCUUAAGUCUGAUGUGAAAGCCCCCGGCUCAACCGGGGGAGGGUCAUUGGAAACUGGGAAACUUGAGUGCAGAAGAGGAGAGUAGAAUUCCACGUGUAGCGGUGAAGUGC